AGCUCGCGGCAGCCCGCGGUCCGUCUCGCACGCGCGGGCACCGCGCUGGUCCCAGGCUGCAGGUUUCCCAGACGAUGGCAUCCGAGAACUUAAACAAAGGGGGCCGCCGCCGGCGCGAAGCGGCUGAGGAAAGUUGCGGUGGCGGAUUUCCAAGGAGCGUGGCCGCUACCCGAGCUCUGGGCGCCGCGAGCUCCCCCUUCCCACCCCCGCCGAGGCAGGGACGGGGGCCGUCUGGCGAAGGAACAAGGAAACUUUGAAACCACUGGGGACACAUCUGCCUAUAGACCUAUUGCGAUGCCCAGCGCCACGAAGGGAACACCAACGUCUCGGCCGGACACUAAGAACCUCUGCUGGGAAAAAAAUAAAACACCAACCCCAACCGUCAGCAGCAAGGUAACAGAGAAACUCAACCUCGUUUUUCUCCUGUUCAAUUUUUUUCCUUGUUAUAUUUGUUUCCUAAUUUCUGCCCAAAAGGAAAGAUGUCGCAUCAGGCUGUGACUGUUGCGAGGAGAAUGAAAAAGGACUCUUGUUUCAGAGGCAGCCAAGAGCUCCAGCAAUAGCAACUUCAGAGAAAUGCACCAUCGAAAGAAGUUUUCCUAGGACACAACAAAACUUGAAAGGAGAGGACCAGAGGGGGAGAGAGCAGGAGCCAGCCUCUCCUCUCGGCACGCGAGCAGCCAGCAUCACCACGCCUUCAAGGACGGGAAAAGUUUUUCCUACUCUGAGGGGAGCCCAGUGAGCUGCGUUCCUGGGGAGGAGGCACGGAGCGGCCAGCCGCUGGUCGUCCACGGUUUGGUUAAGAAGAAAGGAGCGGCUUCUUUCUUUGUGUUUCCCGUGAAAUCUCCACUUAGCAGGUGGACCGAGCCCCGGGCCCGGGCCGAGUCCGCGCUUGGCCGCGGACAGGAGGAGGAGGAGCGCGAGCCAGCGCGCCCGGCCCGGGAGCCCCAGCGCAGGCCCGCGCCCCGCCCGGCGAGCCCCGCUGGAGCGAGCCGAUCGCGCCGGGGCUGGGGGGCGGCCACGACCCCCCCUGAGGGGGGCGGCCACGGAGCGCGCCCCGAGAAGCGAGACCCCCCUCCCCAGAGCGCGGCUCCUGCUGCGGCUGCUGCUGCUGCUGCUGCUGACCAAGGCCGGCC